UUUCGAGAUUCCCAGGUGCCGAAACUUUACAGGGUCGAGGCGGUGUAAGGUGACAACGUGGCCAGUGCGAGGAAGACGGCGGAAGGAGAUGGCGGUGGUGGCGAUGGUGACGGGGAGCCGGAUGGACUUCUGCUGCUACUGCAUAUAUGAAGUCUGAAGUCUGACGUGGCCGCGCCGAGCUGCUGCCGAAGGAGUCCCGUGGCCGUCUCGCCCCCGCUCGUGGAUUACUUCGUGCACCAUCGUACGUUUGAUAGACGCACCACCGACGUUAGAGAGUUGCAGAAA